CCUACGGGUGGCAGCAGUGGGGAAUAUUGCACAAUGGGCGAAACCCUGAUGCAGCAACGCCGCGUGAAUGAAGACGGUUUUCGGAUUGUAAACUCCUGUUCUUAGUGAAGAAUAAUCACGGUAGCUAAGGUGCAAGCCUCGACUAACUACGUGCCAGCAGCCACGGGAAUACGUAGGUGGCAAGCGUUGUCCGGAAUUACUGGGUGGAAAGGGAGCGCAGGCGGGAAGUUAAGUCAGCUGUGAAAGCUACGGGCUUAACUUGUAGACUGCAGUUGAAACUGGUGUUCUUGAGUGAAGUAGAGGUUGGCGGAAUUACGAGUGUAGCGGUGAAAUGCGUAGAUAUUCGGAGGAACACCGGUGGCGAAGGCGGCCAACUGGGCUUUAACUGACGCUGAGGCUCGAAAGCGUGGGGAGCAAACAGGAUUAGAUACCCGAGUAGUC
rnacentral:rRNA from 1 species